UACGUAGGGUGCAAGCGUUAAUCGGAAUUACUGGGCGUAAAGCGUGCGCAGGCGGUUUUGUAAGUCUGUUGUGAAAUCCCCGGGCUCAACCUGGGAAUGGCAAUGGAGACUGCAAGGCUAGAGUUUGGCAGAGGGGGGGUAGAAUUCCACGUGUAGCAGUGAAAUGCGUAGAUAUGUGGAGGAACACCGAUGGCGAAGGCAGCCCCCUGGGUCAAAACUGACGCUCAUGCACGAAAGCGUGGGGAGCAAACAGG
rnacentral:rRNA from 1 species